CCCUUAGCUCAGUUGGAUAGAGCAACGACCUUCUAAGUCGUGGGCCGCAGGUUCGAAUCCUGCAGGGCGCGCCA
rnacentral:tRNA from 2 species